GGACGUUUCGCUCCGGUUCGCGUCUCGUUCGUGUCAUAUUACCCCGCCACCGCUGACCGGUAAACAUUUUUACACCAUCAAGAUAAGUUGUUAAUCUUUUUCUGUUUUUCCUCUCGUUCGUGUAGUGGUAAUUUGAUAACAGUUGUCGAUAUGUAACUUUGUAUCUAUGACUGGAACAGUGUAGAAACAUUUCUAGGUUAGUAAUGUGUAAAAUAGAUUUGUUGUAUAAUUCGUAGCAGUUGGUCUACGACAGUGAUUAAACCAACUAAUUUCUCUUAUAUAUUCUUCAAGGCACGAACUGAAAAUUCUUCGUCAUCAGAAUUAACAUAUCUUCAAGUUAAUUUGUAAUUUAUUGUGUAAUGUGUUUAACAAUUUUGAAAGGACUUACAUAAGAAAUUCAAGGCUUGUUCCAAUUCGAUACUAAAAGAUUUUAUCGAUCAAUUUCGUAUCGAUGGAAUUCCUUCUCGAAGAACUUAAACAAAAUGAAGCUAUUACAUCAUUCAACCUGUCUGUCUCGUCUUUAUAAAAUAAUACCCAACUUGUUUUAGUAAAACCUUCUCUCAACGUAGCAUCAGACAAAGGGCUUCUAUUAAAUUUAGUCCCAUUCGUCAUAGUCUGGAUCAAUUCUUAAACGGAGACUCGACAAAGUGACUGAAUUGUGACAACCUCACUCCAUCCUUUCAGCCUAAUCCUUCCAGCAUCUUCAAAGAAGAAACAUGUUUCCUUAUAAAGGAAUUAAGCCGCUUUAUGUACAAAGGCAAAAUUGCAUCUAAGCAUAAAUACAUAUGAUUAAUGUGCAGAAACUAAUCAGUUAUUCAACAGUUGAUUAAUCUCUUUGAAGUUUAGUGUGAUAGGCACAGAAAGGAAAAAUAACGUUCAUGUUCUCUUUAUCAGCUACUGCCUGGUUUCCUUUUCAACUUUUUUACAAACAGAACGUUGUGAUGUGAUAUGUUUCCAUCAUCAAGUUGUGAAUAAUCAACAAAGUGACUAUAGUUUGAAGUAUGUAAGGGAAAAAUAGAAGACUUGCACGAAAUAUUAGUGCAGACGACAAAAGCGUAAAGCGAAUGAAAGCCUAUUGCAGAAACGUCAUACGAUUUUUGGACUGUACGAUAACAGUAACAAAUACCAGAAGCUUCUCACGUACCACAUAUCUGUCCUUCUCCCAUGGAGGAGCAAUAAAGCCUAAUACUACUUGAGGACACCAGUCAAAGCAUGCCCAGAUACAGCUUUCUACAGCACCUGUAUCUCUGAGAUCUUCCACCUCUAAGAGAACUGUCUGUUUACUCAGCUGUUGGUAUGUCUACAUUCCUCUGCGACCGAAAUGUGUGUGGGUGGCAGACAUAACCUAUAUGAUUACGUCACGAGUUACGUAGGAGCCGUUGGCACAACCCUGUGAAAGAGGACCUGGUCAGGAGAAGCAAACAUUCAGCUCUGGAAAGCGUUGCAUUA